rnacentral:rRNA from 1 species
AGUGAACGCUGGCGGUAGGCCUAACACAUGCAAGUCGAACGGCAGCACAGUAAGAGCUUGCUCUUACGGGUGGCGAGUGGCGGACGGGCGAGGAAUACAUCGGAAUCUACUUUUUCGUGGGGGAUAACGUAGGGAAACUUACGCUAAUACCGCAUACGACCUACGGGUGAAAGCAAGGGAUCUUCGGACCUUGCGCGAUUGAAUGAGCCGAUGUCGGAUUAGCUAGUUGGCGGGGUAAAGGCCCACCAAGGCGACGAUCCGUAGCUGGUCUGAGAGGAUGAUCAGCCACACUGGAACUGAGACACGGUCCAGACACCUACGGGAGGCAGCAGUGGGGAAUAUUGGACAAUGGGCGCAAGCCUGAUCCAGCCAUACCGCGUGGGUGAAGAAGGCCUUCGGGUUGUAAAGCCCUUUUGUUGGGAAAGAAAAGCAGCAGGUUAAUACCCCGCUGUUCUGACGGUACCCAAAGAAUAAGCACCGGCUAACUUCGUG